rnacentral:misc_RNA from 1 species
AUGGCUGCGGCACCGGCGGCGUCGUGCAUCAGCACAGACCAUGGCUGUGUUGUGUUCGAUUGCCUCGUCCACCUUUGGGAAUGGCUAGAUCCCCCAGUGACGCAGACGGAAUUCCAAAUGGAGAACAAAAAGCCAGCACCAGCAACGCAGCAACCCCAAACACAACAACACCUUAUGGCCCACCACGUUCACCCAGAUCAGAUUUAUUCCCCUCAACACACACAAUUAACUGCGAAUCUAACAUCAGCGCAAACUGGACAAAUUCAACCGAAUGGCGUCAUGCACCAACUAUUACAAAGCCAAUACCAUUCAAACAUGAAUGCGCGGUCACCGCUCCUAGAAAACAGACACGAACUAUAUGGAACGGGGCACAAUCAAGACUAUGCGAGGCACUAUGGGGCGAAUGAUAAUUAUAAUUACCCCCAGUCACCUCCAAGGCAGGAAAGAACCGAUAUGCAUACUGAUCAUAAUGUCAAUCAUGAAUUACUACACAAUAUUCCUAAAGGAUAUAAUGCGGAAGUCUAUCAGGAUUAUUUGAAACGGAACCCACCGAAAGAUGCCAAUCAAAUAUACCAAAAUCAUCAGCCUAUGUAUAAACCUAAUGUGAACCAAUACGGUUCAAAGCCAUAUCUACCAUAUUCAAAUAGGAUAGGACCACAAAGUAAUACUGAGUUAUUGCGAAGACAAUACAAUGAAAUUCAACAAAUGAAGAUGCAACAACAAUUACAUUACCAAAACCAGGCACAAAUGCAUCAACAGCAAAAGUUUGCUGAACGACAAUUGCUGCUCCAACAAAUCCAUGGAGUUCAUCCACCGCCUAAUUUGCAAAAUAGUAUAUAUUCGUCUGACAGUUUUUUUAGAGAUUUAGAUCGGUAUAGUAAAAAUGAUUUUAAAGACUAUAGUAGUCCCGACAUACAAAAAGAUAUUGAAAUGUAUAGUAAAAGUAAUGAAAUCGAGAAACAACAAAAUAGGCAAUAUCAGGAAUCUCAAUGGCAAGCAAAUCAGCCAAGUGAUUUUAGAGAAAACGAAAAAUAUAGAAGACAGUCAGAAGGCGAUAAAGGAAUGACUCAAUCUCCACCUUCUGAGUAUAACAAUCAACACGAAAGAAGUAACGUGGGUGUGGUAUCGCCAAUGAAAUCUAGUGAAUCAAGUACCCCAAGCAUUAAGUCCCCUUCAUCUGAAAGCCGUAGAAGUAGUAGUGGAAAUCAGGCAUUAAGAUCUCCUAUAGCUCAAAGAAUCCCUUCAGCUCCUGUAACAAUGUCUGGCAUUUUGUAUAAACAAGGUUCUGAUGGACUAAAAGUAUGGAGGAAGAGGUGGUUCGUGUUGUCAGAGUACUGUUUAUUUUAUUAUAAAAGCCAGGAUGAAGAAAAGCUGUUGGGAUCGGUGCUUUUACCUUCUUACAAAGUCUCUGCGUGUUCAAGCGACGACAAAGUAUUGAGAAAAUUUUCAUUCAAGUUAGAACAUGCUAACAUGAGAACGUAUGUUUUGGCAGCACCAGAUCAAGAGGCUAUGUUGAAGUGGGUGAAGGCGCUAACCAUGGCUGCAUUGAUGCAAAAUCCAAACGAACAACCACAAAAGCAGACCGAGAGGGCAGCUGCAAAAAUAGAGGAUGGUGACGAAGUACCUGGACCAACAUAUGCUAAUGCUCCACCAAAACCGAGACGAUCCAAUGAAGGAUAUAACUCACCUAGUCCUGAUAUGUAUGAUCCCAAUUACGAUAUACUCAAAAAGCCAGCAUCACACUAUAGUCAGAGCACUAGUCACAUUCGUUCUCAGGAUCACACAAAUUAUACAAGUAGUCCAAAUCAGGAGAGCACAUACACUCGUAGCCCGCAGUCUCCACCAUCAGCACAGCAGCAACCUCAGUACCAGAUGAAACGACCCUACGACACGCAACACCUUUCUCUACCAUUAACAAAUACCGUUACUGAUAGACUUGAAAACAAUCAACCUAGUACAUCAUCUACAUAUAGAUCUAAUCCUCAAUCACCUUAUUUUAAUAAUAGGGAUAGGAGUCAACAGCAACCGUCAACGGUAAAAGAAAAUAUUCAGGGACAGUUAUAUGAUACACAGCGGAACAUCCAACGCAAUCCUUUUCUUCAAGAUAACACACCGCAAACAGAAAAUCAGGUUAGAGAAAUUGAUGUACAAAAUAAAAACAAUCGAUCGGUUUCGGAAUCUAAUAGAUUGCAGUCAAAUUUUAAUGAAUCUUAUGCGGAAGUUCGUUCUAAUUUAAAACAAAAUAAUGAUACCGGUGCUUAUAAUAGAGACGUUUAUGGUGAGCUAAAUGUGAGACAAAACAGAGCACCUGGAAUAAAUGAUCGAUUACUAAAUGAAAGACGCACACCAGAUGCCUAUGGUCGAUCGACAUCUAUGGCUGCCUAUAACAGAGGAAAGGUCGGAGAUUAUGAAGAUGUGUAUGGAGUGUAUGCUACAGAAAAUGAAUAUGGUAAAACUUAUAAUAAGUCACUAUCAAAUACCUCUCAAAUAAAUGCAAUCGGUUCAUAUACCACAAAACAAUCGCAAGAAUUUUCCGGAAAUGAGAAGACAUUUAGUGGACCAUCAGUUUUAAGAAGGAAAAAGAUGCAAUCUUCUGGGAUACAACCACCAAUGCCUAGACCGCACAGCGCAGAUUUUCUUGAAUAUGAGUCUAAAAAUGAAAUGCUUAAUAAAACCAUGCCAGCACGUACGACAUGUGAGCAGAUUAAACAACCUCAAAGACCUAAGUCAAGUCUUGACAUAAAUUCAUAUUAUGACCCUAGUUCAGACAGAUAUUACUCCGAAGAAAGUUAUGCUGAAAAAAUGCGACAGUCAGCUCAAUAUCUACAACAAGGCUUAGGUUCACGAAAUAUUCAAAUUCCGCUUGCAAAAUAUGCUAGUGGAUUAGCUGAAAAGCAAUUAAAUUCACCAUAUUCACAGAUUACUAAUAAUAACUAUGAAACUGAAUUUGGUGCAAAUAAGAUAGCUCGAGACAAUGUAAGUUAUAAUUCUAAACAUAGCGAUCUCGAAGGUUUGAAUUCUAACUGGACUUUAAAAGAAAAGGGCAUUGAAAAUCAAAAAGAUUACGUAAACAGAAGUGGGAGUGUGAUGAGCGAUGGUUCCAAUGUUAGUGGAUAUACCAAAGACAUAAGUAAAUUUGAUGUAUCUUCCGAAGGUUUUAUUCGAUCAGCAAGUGCAAGAUUACCAUCAACAACCACAGAGAAGGAUGGCGAUAAAAAAAUCCAGCAGCGUGAAGAAUCAAUGAAACGUUUAUUAGAAUGGAAACAGAGAAUGCUCCAAUCUCCUUUAACAAGAAAAAGUACACCAGCCACUAUAUCUCUUGCUAGAUCUUUGAAUCAAAGUCGCCAGUCUUUGAGAUCAGAUCAGUACAAAUCUAAAAAUUAUACAAAUGCAUCCUAUAAUAGCUACUCUUCAGAUGAUGAAGCUUCUAUGACAAUGUCAGGCACGAAUAUAAACUUAAGCUCAGAAAAUAAUACAACGAAUCAACAACCACUAUCAAAGAAAAGUUUUCUCGGUAGUAAUACAUCAAUUGGAAGAAAUAACCGAGAUGCCAAUAUACCAGUACGUGCAGUGAGUCCUAGAGUAAGAUGGGUAGAAGAAAAAACAUCAAAUGAACAUUUCAGCUCCCAACCGAUGUCAACUUCUCAGCAAAAUUUGCAUACGCUGACAUCUACAGAGGAUAUAUGGGCGACAGCUCGAUCGCCAUCACGAACCUCACAACAACCUAUUCGAGCUGUUAGCCCAAGGGUCCGAAGGAACACUGAAGCAGAUGCUUUGCAAAGGGAAGUUCAAAGAUCAGGCCAUGGUGAAUUAUUGAGUGAUGUACCUACUGCUGGAGAGCUUCUAGGUCGAACACAUGAGGAACUUGUAUUGCUCCUCAUACAGUUAAGACGACGGCAUGCAGCUACUCACCGUGCUAUUGAGAAUUGCUGUUCACAAAUAAAUAGUAUAGAGGACUGUCUCAGUUCCUUAAAGUCACUGGAACGAGAAGAAAGUCUACAACGAUUGGAGCAGCUAAAGAUGCAACUGAUGGAAUUAGAACAUCAGUAUGAGAAAAGCAAACCGUUGGUCCAAUUAGUUGAUAAUAUGGUAAAAUUGGGUUCUUUAUACAACCGACCAGGGUCCACAGUGGAACGUUUGGAAAGAAAUCAGAGAUUGAGGCAGAAAGUACUCGCUGAACAUGCGUUAGAACAACAAAGGUGGCUUGAAAGUGCAGCAGCAGGAAAGCCUUUAGAAACCGAAGCGGCUAGAGCUAGAGUAGCGGAAUUGUGGGCGUUGGAGCAAGAGUUGGCAGACGAGGCUGCCAUAUUACAGGGACUCAGGACUGACAAGGACGCUAUUGAGUCACUACUUACUGGAGUACGCGGUAAACUUGACAGUGUUCCUCGCAGUGAAUUGUUAUCUCGUAAUGGGAUGGGUAUGGGUGCAGGGGUUGCCGGUGGUAUUGUUGGUCCGGGAGGACAAAGGAUCCCGCAGAACUUCCCAAGCGGCUCGGCGCUCGAAGCGGAGCUAGCGCGGGUGCACGCCAUGCUGGCGCACAAUUCUAAGGUUUAUAAGAAACUAGAACAAACGGUAGCAGACAACGCCCGGUUGGAGCGCGAGCUCCAGCAGCUACGGCGGGCGCUGCAGGCUCGUCGCGCUGCCGCUCCCGCUCAUCCCACUGCUGUGCUCGAAGAUGAGGUGUCGCGCGUGCAGCAGCUGGUAUCAGCAUUACAGCGGCAGCGACAGGAGCUGAGCCGCGCAGUACGGCAUCUGACGCAGCAGUCGCAAGCGCUGCAGACCACUCAUCACUCUAUACCCGGCAAACGCCGUCCAAUUUCAUCCUGGCAAGAAACCAACUUAGACACGGGACACACAAUCGACCACGGCCAGUCAGAUUAUGACUACGACAUAUCGAGAGACCUGUUACCACCAGGGCACUAUGAACCUUCUAAUAUGGAUACGCCAUUAUAUGUCGAUACUCGAACUUCAGCACCCGAUAUCGCAUCACCGUUAACUAGUGAGGAAAUGCAACACAGUGGGUUUGGAAACCUUUCAAACGUUGAGAAACAAGAAAUAAAAACAGUCCGGAUAGUAAAGAGGGAAAGCGAAAGACGUCAGAGAGACAGAGAGCGAUCACUUCAACCGAUGUCCGAUUGGCCAUCUAAUAACAUUUCAGCAAACCUAGACCAGUUCAUAGAAGAAGAACUAGUCCAGUCAUUGAAUUAUUCAAGAGCAUCAUCCGUGCCUCGGACAGAUUUUAGCAAAUUCGAAGAGUACUAUUCAAAACCGCAAUCUGAACAACAAAAUUAUAUUCGUUUGAAUGAGAAAAAUAUGGAGUUAAGUCCAAAAUAUCCAUCAAGUCCGUCAUUGUCGAAUUAUGAUUAUUCUAGAGACAUAUCAUCUCUUAGUAGCAGUUACCAUAAAAGUUACGAUAAGUCUGGAUAUGAUCGCACUAUGUCCCUUUCAACUCAGUAUCUAAAUAGUCCUACAGAUAGUUCUAGAACGUUGACUAACGAUCCAAUAUCGAAAACGAGUAGUAUAGUUAGUUUGACCAGGUCCCAUAUGGAGCUGUCUCCAAUUUUCAAAAGUGAGGCAGCGAAGCAGAUUAUAACGGAGAUGUCAGGGGAGCCCAAAAAUGGGUCAUUGCAUAGGAGGCAAGUUCCGAAGGAGAAAAGAAGGCACAAUACAGCGCCACACCAUUUAAGUGCAAAAACUUUGAACGAAAUGCCUAAGGAUGGAUAUAAUCAAGAUAAGCUGGGCCGGUCGCUGGACGACACGGACAUGGAGCGCGCGCUGCGCGGCGUGGGCGGCGUGGGCGGCGUGGGCGGCGUGCGCGGCGUGCGCGGCGUGCGCGCGGCGCCGGCGCCGGACGUGGUGCGCUCGGCGCUGCCGCCGCCCGCGCACCGCCUCGCCGACAACGCCAUCGACCAGCUGCUCGCCGCGCCGCAGAAAAUACUCAUACCGGAACGGUAUAUACCUGAAAAGCCACCUGAGCUUUCACCUGAGGAACAACAGAAACGACAAGAAAAAGUUGAAUCAAUAAAAAAGAUGCUCACCAGUUCUUCUGCAGAUACUAACAAGAGCCCGGACACUGAAGAGAAGCGGCAGCGGGAACAUUUACUCCAGAUGAACCAGAUUCUCGCCAAGCAGGUCACCGAGAUGAGCAAAAUAAUAGCUGGAACCAACACUGAUCAAGGGCCAUCCAGCGCAAACAACUGAUUUCAUAUACCAAAUUAUAUCCCACAUAAACCCUGUUGAAAGCACCAUAUCACGCUCGAUCACCUUUUAACCUAUUGACAUCCUUAGCAACAUUUAUAAUUACACUUUUCCCUACCUUGAAGUAGUUACUACCUUAUCCAGUGGCCCUUAGAAGAUAUGCUGUCAAGUAUGUCGCGGCAUGGUUUCGUUUUAUUGCAUUUUGUUUGAAAGCGUUGGAAGAGCUGCCACUACACGACAAAAAC